AUUGAACGCUGGCGGCAUGCUUUACACAUGCAAGUCGAACGGUAACAGGGAGCUUGCUCCGCUGACGAGUGGCGAACGGGUGAGUAAAGCAUCGGAACGUGCCCUGGAAUGGGGGAUAACGUAGCGAAAGUUACGCUAAUACCGCAUAUACUGUGAGCAGGAAAGCAGGGGAUCGCAAGACCUUGCGCUGAUUGAGCGGCCGAUAUCAGAUUAGCUAGUUGGUGGGGUAAAGGCCUACCAAGGCGACGAUCUGUAGCGGGUCUGAGAGGAUGAUCCGCCACACUGGAACUGAGACACGGCCCAAACUCCUACGGGAGGCAGCAGUGGGGAAUAUUGCACAAUGGGCGAAAGCCUGAUGCAGCAACGCCGCGUGAGCGAUGAAGGCCUUCGGGUCGUAAAGCUCUGUCCUCAAGGAAGAUAAUGACGGUACUUGAGGAGGAAGCCCCGGCUAACUACGUG
rnacentral:rRNA from 1 species